rnacentral:rRNA from 1 species
AGUGAACGCUGGCGGUAGGCCUAACACAUGCAAGUCGAACUGCAGCACAGUAAGAGCUUGCUCUUACGGGUGGCGAGUGGCGGACGGGUGAGGAAUACAUCGGAAUCUACUUUUUCGUGGGGGAUAACGUAGGGAAACUUACGCUAAUACCGCAUACGACCUACGGGUGAAAGCAGGGGAUCUUCGGACCUUGCGCGAUUGAAUGAGCCGAUGUCGGAUUAGCUAGUUGGCGGGGUAAAGGCCCACCAAGGCGACGAUCCGUAGCUGGUCUGAGAGGAUGAUCAGCCACACUGGAACUGAGACACGGUCCAGACUCCUACGGGAGGCAGCAGUGGGCAAUAUUGGACAAUGGGCGCAAGCCUGAUCCAGCCAUACCGCGUGGGUGAAGAAGGCCUUCGGGUUGUAAAGCCCUUUUGUUGGGAAAGAAAAGCAGCAGGUUAAUACCCCGCUGUUCUGACGGUACCCAAAGAAUAAGCACCGGCUAACUUCGUG